rnacentral:rRNA from 1 species
UACGUAGGGUGCGAGCGUUGUCCGGAAUUACUGGGCGUAAAGAGCUCGUAGGCGGCUUGUCACGUCGGGGUGUGAAAGCCCGGGGCUUAACCCCGGGUCUGCAUUCGAUACGGGCUAGCUAGAGUGUGGUAGGGGAGAUCGGAAUUCCUGGUGUAGCGGUGAAAUGCGCAGAUAUCAGGAGGAACACCGGUGGCGAAGGCGGAUCUCUGGGCCAUUACUGACGCUGGAGGAGCGAAAGCGUGGGGAGCGAACAGG